AUGAGAUUUCCCAUUCCGCAAGGAAGUAAGAUCCCUGAAAGAUGAUCAGGUUGAUAGGUCUGAGGUGGAAGCGUGGUGACACGUGGAGCUGACAGAUACUAAUAGAUCGAGGACUUAACCUA
rnacentral:rRNA from 1 species